CAAGAAGCGGCGAUCGGCGAGAGAGUGCGAGGGGUGGCAGCAGUUUUCUUGCCUUUGUUACGGCCAUUUCCGGCAUCCUUUGGCAGCGAUCUUGGUCUCAAAUUGACCGGUGAGUUGAAGGCUUUCUUUUGGCGGUGGCGGCGUCGACUUUGGUGGCCGGAGGAGGGAGUUCCGGCAAGGUGUUGGCAGCAACAUUUUUUGGCUUUUUCGGCAAGCUCCAGUGAGGGAUGGAUGAUCGGAGGACAUAUCCGGAUUUCCCUCGACUUAAGCUUCACAUUGGCACCAGUUUCGUGGCGAUCGGACUUCGUUUGUAAAUCAACGGCCGAGAUCGUCCAUAAAUCUCUCUGGAUGAUCGGGGUCGGAUCAGAAAAUCGGAAGCAAGGAUGUCAUCAGCGUGUCGUUUCGAGUUCGUUGGUAUGUUGGGAUCGUUGAUCAGACUCCGGCGGCUGGAGGCGAGUCGACCGAGCGAUCAAGCGCCUUGAUCUGUGUUUGUUAGUCUUCCCGCGGCUCUUAUCAAGCAACCUGACUCCUUCAUCAUCGGGUGACGUAUUUAAUUCAAUAUGCUGACUUGUAAAAAUUUAGAUUCUCCACAGUAGAAAUAGGAGACUUAUCAGUUGUAAUUUUCUGUAGUUUCGGAUCUCGCCUAAUUCUUCUGGCAGACCGAAUUAAAUAUAUAGAAUUGAAUGGUUAAGUUAGAUUGUGAAUCAGUGCCUUGGAUUGUGCCAUCAGUGGCAUUAUAUGAGAUUUGAUUAAGUAAGAGCGUGUUAAGCUUA